rnacentral:rRNA from 1 species
AUUGAACGCUGGCGGAAUGCUUUACACAUGCAAGUCGAGCGGCAGCGCGGGGGCAACCCUGGCGGCGAGCGGCGAACGGGUGAGUAAUACAUCGGAACGUGUCCUUAAGUGGGGGAUAGCUCGGCGAAAGCCGGAUUAAUACCGCAUAAGCUCUGAGGAGGAAAGCGGGGGCUCCGUAAGGACCUCGCGCUGUUGGAGCGGCCGAUGUCGGAUUAGCUAGUUGGUGGGGUAAAGGCCCACCAAGGCGACGAUCCGUAGCUGGUCUGAGAGGAUGAUCAGCCACACUGGAACUGAGACACGGUCCAGACUCCUACGGGAGGCAGCAGUGGGGAAUUUUGGACAAUGGGGGCAACCCUGAUCCAGCCAUUCCGCGUGAGUGAGGAAGGCC